AAGAAGACCCUGCGGCAGGAGAGGGGAUGAACAUGGCGGACACGAAGCAGAAGCGGAACGAGCAGCUGAAGCCCUGGAUCCGCUCCGAGACAGACCUCGAGCCUCCGGUGGUGAAGCGCCAGAAGACCAAGGUGAAGUUCGACGAUGGCGCCGUCUUCCUGGCUGCUUGUUCCAGCGGCGACAUGGACAAGGUCCUCAAGCUACUGCACCGCGGCGAGGACAUCAAUUACGCCAAUGUGGACGGACUCACUGCCCUGCACCAGGCUUGCAUUGAUGACAAUGUUGAUAUGGUGAAGUUUCUGGUAGAAAAUGGAGCAAAUAUUAAUUAACCUGAUAACAAAGGCUGGAUACCACUACAUGCAGAAGCUUUCUGUGGAUAUCUUGAUAUUGCAGAGUUUUGAUUGGUCAGGGAGCACAUGUUGGGGCUGUCAAUAGUGAAGGAGACACACCUUUAGAUAUUACAGAGGAGGAGGCAAUGGAAGAGCUACUUCAAAACGAAGUUAAUCGGUAAGGGGUUGAUAUAGAAGCAGCUCGAGGCCGGGAAGAACGGAUCGUGCUUAGAGAUGCCAGGCAGUGGCUAAAUAGUGGUCAUAUAAAUGAUGUCCGACAUGCAGAAUCUGGAGGUACAGCACUUCACGUUGCAGCUGCUAAAGGCUAUACGGAAGUUUUAAAACUUUUAAUACAGGCAGGAUAUGAUGCUAAUAUUAAAGACUAUGAUGGCUGUACACCUCUUCAUGCUGCAGCUCACUGGGGUAAAGAAGAAGCAUGUCGAAUUUUAGUGGACAAUCUCUGUGAUGAGAUGGUCAACAAAGUGGGCCAAACAGCCUUUGAUGUAGCAGAUGAAGACAUUUUAGGAUAUUUAGAAUAGCUGCAAAAGAAACAAAAUCUGCUCCAUAGUGAAAAACGGGAUAAGAAAUCUCCACUAAUUGAAUCUACAGCAAAUAUGGACAAUAAUCAGUCACAGAAGACCUUUAAAAACAAAGAGACAUUGGUUAUUGAGCCAGAGAAAAAUGCAUCCCAUAUUGAAUCUCUGGAACAAGAAAAGGUUGAUGAAGAAGAAGAACGAAAGAAAGAUGAGUCUAGCUGCUCUAGGGAAGAAGAUGAGGAAGAUGACUUGGAAUCAGAAGCUGAAACAGAUAAGACAAAACCCUGACUUCUGUAACUAAUGUCAACACUUCUAGUACACAAGCAGCUACUGUAGCUGUUACAACCCCUACUGUGUUAUCAGGUCAAGCAACACCUACAUCGCCUAUUAAAAAGUUUCCAACUACAGCUACAAAAAUUUCUCCCAAAGAAGAAGAGAGAAAAGAUGAGUCUCCUGCCACUUGGAGGUUAGGACUUAGAAAGGCCGGCAGUUAUGGCGCACUUGCUGAAAUCACAGCAUCAAAAGAGGGUCAGAAAGAAAAAGAUACUGCAGGUGUUACACGUUCAGCUUCGAGUCCCAGACUUUCCUCCUCUUUGGAUAAUAAAGAAAAGGAGAAAGAUAGUAAAGGAACUAGGCUUGCAUAUGUCGCGCCUACAAUACCAAGAUGACUAGUCAGUACAUCUGACGUUGAAGAGAAAGAAAACAGAGAUUCUUCAAGUUUGCGAACAAGUAGUUCAUAUACAAGGAGAAAAUGGGAAGAUGAUCUUAAAAAAAUAGCUCAAUUAAUGAAGGAUCAACUUAUCAUAAAAGUUGCUCCUUUGGUAGAAGACAAGAUGAUUUGAUUAGUUCCAGUGUUCCAAGCACCACGUCAACACCAACAGUUACCUCUGCAGCUGGGCUUCAGAAAAGUCUGCUUUCCAGCACAAGCACUGCUACAAAGAUUACAAUCAGUUCUUCCUCAGCAGGCACACAAAGCAGUACCUCAAAUCGUUUGUGGGCUGAGGAUAGUAUAGAAAAAGGAAAGGACAGUGUUCCUACAUCAGUGACCAUUCCCAUUGCUCCAACUGUUGUAAAUGCUGCAGCUUCUACCACAACCCUGACUACAACUACUGCUGGCACUGUCUCCUCCACAACAGAGGUCAGGGAGAGACACAGAUCAUACCCUACUCCUGUUAGGGAUGAAGAGUCUGAAUCCCAAAGAGAAGCAAGAUCUAGACAAGCAAGGCAAUCUAGAAGAUCAACACAGGGAGUGACAUUAACUGAUCUUCAAGAAGCUGGGAAAACUAUAGGAAGAAGUCGUUCUACCAGAACCAGAGAACAAGAAAAUGAAGAAAUAGAAAAAGAGGAAAAAGAAAAACAAGCUAAAGAGAAACAAGAAGAAAAGAAGGAGUCAGAAACAUCUAGAGAAGAUGAAUAUAAGCAAAAGUAUUCCAGAACGUAUGAUGAGACUUAUCAGUGUUAUAGGCCAGUAUCAACUUCAAGUUCAACCACUCCAUCCUCUUCACUUUCUACCAUAAGCAGUUCACUCUACGCUUCAAGAACACUAAACAGGCCAAAUAGUCUUGUAGGUAUAACGUCUGCUUAGUCCAGAGGAAUAACAAAAGAAAAUGAAAGAGAGGGAGAAAAAAGAGAAGAGGAAAAAGAAGGAGAAGAUAAAUCACAACCUAAAUCAAUUAGAGAAUGACGGCGACCAAGAGAGAAAAGAAGAUCUACAGGAGUUUCAUUUUGGACACAAGAUAGUGAUGAAAAUGAACAGGAGCAAUAGUCGGACUCAGAAGAGGGAUCCGAUAAGAAAGAAACUCAGACGGAUUCCAUUUCUAGAUGUGAAACCAGUUCUACAUCAGCUGGUGAUCGAUAUGAUUCCUUGCUGGGUCGCUGUGGAUCAUACAGUUACCUAGAAGAAAGAAAAUCUUAUAGUAGCAGGCUAGAAAAGGAUGACUCAACUGACUUUAAAAAGCUUUAUGAACAAAUUCUAGCUGAAAAUGAAAAGCUGAAGGCACAGCAACUUGAUACAAAUAUGGAAUUAACAGAUCUUAAAUUACAGUUGGAAAAGGCCACCCAGAGACAAAGAUUUGCUGAUAGGUCACUGUUGGAAAUGGUAAAAAGGGAACGAAGAGCCCUAGAAAGAAGAAUAUCUGAAAUGGAAGAAGAGCUCAAAAUGUUACCAGACCUAAAAGCAGACAACCAGAGGCUAAAUGAUGAAAAUGGGGCCUUGAUCAGAGUAAUAAGCAAACUUUCCAAAUAAUAAUAAUUAAAAAAAAAAGCAGCAAGUAAUGGAAUUGCACCUAUUAGUAACCCAGUGGACCAUAAUUGGCAGUCACUGGAAGCCUGGGAAGAAUUUUGGAGACUGUCAUUUUCGGAUAUCCUGCCAAAUGCCCUCUUAUCUAGAAUUUUUGUUUCAUUUUGUUCAAUUUUCUGGGGUGUUUUUGUUGUUGUUGUUUUUCUUUUUUUAAAAAAUUGAGACCAUUGUUUCAUAUUAAUGCGGCUGCUGAGAAGAUUUUUUUUUUAAUGACUGAGAAAACUUGUUUACAGCUCCAGCAUAUAAGGAAAGUGUUCAAGGCCAGAUAUGACUCAGCUAUUUAACCAGUAAGCCUUAGUUGUAUGUAAACACUUUUGUGUCAACAAAAACUUUCAGCUCUCACAGAAGACAGUUAUUCAACAUUUUUUGAUGUGCCACAGUUUCCAGUUUCUCAACAUUUAAAUUUUUUGGCUUUUCAUCUAAGUUUGGGAACCACUUGGACACAAAAUUAUAGAUAUGGUACAGAAUAAUGAAAAUACUGGAAAAAGACAAGCUCCCAUUCAAUUUCAGCAUCCAGUGCUUGGUGGGGAAGACCAGUCCACUUUGGUAUCUGGUGCAUGCAGUUUCCCAUACAAAAUCAUCUGAUUUAUAUGUAACUCGGCCACAAAAACCAGCAAGGAAAACAUUCAUGCCCUGAAUCCAUUCAGUUCAGCCAUUUGAAUAAAUUGUACAUUGUAAAGCUUAUAGUAGCUGAUUGUAUUAUUGAUUGCAUUGUAUACUAUAUUAAAUGUGAAUUUGUACCCCUUCAUUUUAAAAGGUCAUUGUGUUCUACUGCCUAUUUUAGAUUACUCUGGGGUUGGGGAAGGGUGUUUUGGUAAGCAGGAUGUUAAGUCCUCUCUUUCUUGAUUGGUUUUAUGAAGAUAUAAGGUUAUGCUCUUACUACCAAGCUCAGGAUUCUUGAUUUUAAAGGUACAAGGAUAGUUGUGAGAGUUUUAUUUUUGGUUAUAUUUGAACUGUAUGAUUGGUGGGUCUGAAUAUUGAGAAUUUCCAUGGUCUUAUGUGGAGGUAAAAUACACAGAUAACUGAUCAGUUUGAGUGACCGCAACAUGUUCUCGUUGCGCACCAGUUAGGCAUGCUAUGGUUUAUGUUUGCGAGGUUCAGGUGCCUGCGAAGAAUGAUUAAAUACAUGUUUCUAAUAUUUUAGUGUUUUGUAUUUAGGUUAUUUAUUCUUUGUAUCUAAAACUGAACAGCUACUGUGCUAUAUUGAUUUUAUUGGUGGUAUUGAGCAGACCUUGUUUCUGCAUGAAACUGGUGGCAAA